rnacentral:lncRNA from 1 species
GUUAACCAUUACCCAAUUUUAUAAUUAUUUUAAAUUAUGUUAUAGAAUUCAUCUUUACUAUGUUCAUAUAUUAUUUUCCAGUGAAUCCCUCACUUUCAACCUGUAGUUAUCAGCUCAUACUACAGUUUAUAUGACAGUACUUCUAUCUGUUCUGUGCUGCUGUGAAGAAUAAAACCUUCACUCUGCUGCCCUCUAGUGUCUGCAACAACACACUGCUUCAAACUGUACUGCUACUGUCACUACUACUACAACUGUUUCUACUAUUAGUGCCUUCUGAUGUUGUUGAGUUCAUCUCUAGUAUUUUGUUUCUAUUUUAGAUUUUAUUGUUCAAUCACACAGUCAUUGAGAGUUACUGUUGCUUGAUCAAACUGGUGUUUAUGUAGAGCAGGGCCAAUGAGCAGCAUCUCAGUUUUAUCAGAAUUUAGGAGCAGGAAAUGAUGUGACAUGUAUUUUUCAACCCAGUCUCAUAUAAAAACGUACCCUGUCUACGCUGGUCCAAAGUGCCAAAACGUAGAGCAUAGCUGUGGCCCCAGAUUCCACAUAGGACUCCCUUUGUGAUUUCACUAUUCCGUGGUUAAUGGUAACAUUGUUUUUGUAUUUUUUCAUAUUGUGUUUUUUGUUUCUUGUGAACAAGAGAUAAUUGUUUUUCUCUGAAAUUUCAGGAAGAUACAACCUCUUCCUUCCAUUAGUAAACUGCUCCUGUGGAAAAACCUUGCCAGUGACCAUAAGUGAUCUGGUUGAAAGUGGUUACUGGCCAGCCACUGUCAAUUUUAGACCUUGUACAUGGUGGACUUGUUCACCACGUAUGAGGAUUGUGGCCAAAUGGCACUUGAAUCGUUGCCAUGCCGGGUACACGCCUUCAAAGGUCGCUUCAGCACCCUCUAGAGGACAUGGCCGGUGGAGUGCUGCCUCCUAUUGUGUUUGUCAACCCAAGCACAUGGCCAAGCAGCUAGGCUACAACAAGGCACGGCUGGCAACCACUAAUUACCACCUCAAGCUGCCUCCCGUUUGCCCUCGUCAGGCCAGGACAAAAGGAGCCACACCGACCAAGGGAGGUGAGCUGAUGAAGCUCAGGUGUUCCUGGACCCAUCAGAGGACAGAGACAGCUGCAGCAUCAGGACAGUCUAAAGGACACGAUCUGCACGGUUUACAUUGA